GAUGAACGCUGGUGGCGUGCCUAAUACAUGCAAGUCGAGCGAACAGACGAGGAGCUUGCUCCUCUGACGUUAGCGGCGGACGGGUGAGUAACACGUGGAUAACCUACCUAUAAGACUGGGAUAGCUUCGGGAAACCGGAGCUAAUACCGGAUAAUAUAUUGAACCGCAUGGUUCAAUAGUGAAAGACGGUUUUGCUGUCACUUAUAGAUGGAUCCGCGCCGCAUUAGCUAGUUGGUAAGGUAACGGCUUACCAAGGCGACGAUGCGUAGCCGACCUGAGAGGGUGAUCGGCCACACUGGAACUGAGACACGGUCCAGACUCCUACGGGAGGCAGCAGUAGGGAAUCUUCCGCAAUGGGCGAAAGCCUGACGGAGCAACGCCGCGUGAGUGAUGAAGGUCUUCGGAUCGUAAAACUCUGUUAUUAGGGAAGAACAAAUGUGUAAGUAACUAUGCACGUCUUGACGGUACCUAAUCAGAAAGCCACGGCUAACUACGUG
rnacentral:rRNA from 1 species